rfam:Pseudomonas fluorescens Pf0-1, complete genome.
GUAUCGGUCACCGAAAGGUUUCCGGUAUUUGAACCGGACAGACUUCCGCGGUUCGCUCGACGAGCCGCAACCGGCGCAGGCCGGAUUCGUUAAACCCGCCGGGACUACACCGGC